rnacentral:rRNA from 1 species
CCUACGGGAGGCAGCAGUGAGGAAUAUUGGUCAAUGGCCGGAAGGCUGAACCAGCCAUGCCGCGUGAAGGUCAGUGCCCUAUGGGCGUUAAACUUCUUUUGUGCGGGAGCAAUAAUGGUCACGUGUGGCCAGACGAGAGUACCGUACGAAUAAGCAUCGGCUAACUCCGUGCCAGCAGCCGCGGUAAUACGGGGGAUGCAAGCGUUAUCCGGAUUUAUUGGGUUUAAAGGGUGCGUAGGCUGUGAGGUAAGUCAGCGGUGAAAUGCCCCCGCUCAACGGGGUGAAGUGCCAUUGAUACUGCCUUGCUGGAAUGCGGAUGCCGUGGGAGGAAUGUGUGGUGUAGCGGUGAAAUGCUUAGAGAUCAUACAGAACACCGAUUGCGAAGGCAGCUUACCAAGCUACUUCUGACGUUGAGGCACGAAAGCGUGGGGAGCAAACAGGAUUAGAUACCCCUGUAGUC